GUUGGAGGAGCGGUAAAUGGAUAGCGGUGGGAGUGUACUCAGUAUGAUUACAAAAUACAGUUGCAUAUCGCCCGAUUUUUUAAGCUUAACUUGCUACUAGCAGUUGGUUUAGCAUUUUGGUAACCAGGUCCCAACGACCGGCUACCGCAGAGCAACUCUACGAGGCGGCGAGAAGCGUCGACGCCGUCGAGGGCGGAGGUGGUGGGGGCCGGCAUUGAUGAGGUUGUGGAGGCUGGCGCGGCCGUAGAAUUUGGCAAGGAAGAUGGUGGCAUUAGAUUGAGAAUCGGAGGAUUUGAUCCAGUGAAGGCAGGGUCUGAGACUGCAUUCGGGUGUAUCAUCAAGAUAUGUGAGAGUUCCAUUGACAUCUUGCUUCAUUGUUCAAACAUGGCAGCAUUUACUCAUCGACAUUUUCCAGUAACACCUUUUACUGAACAGGAGACGAUUUAUCACACCAAAUUCAAAGCAGCCCAUGUUGAGCCACUUUCGUCGGUUGUCCAGACCAAGUUAAACGCACUUCGACAAAUCCCUGGGCAAUUAAUCCCAAACUAGCGGGAGGCCCAUUUAAAGCCUGAGAUUAUUCCCAAGAGUUGAUAGCGCCUAUGAGGUUUUAACAUGGCACUUAAGACAAACCCCUAAGCUACCAAGUUUUUGACCACCAAGUCAAUCUGUUGAGUUUGUGAAAAGUAUAAUUGGCAGCACUUGAAUUGUGGAGGAGGUAGAGGUGUCCCAUACGAAAUCAAUCUUGAUCCAUAGACUAUAUGGAGGUAUGCCAAUGCUAGAUGUGACUUUUUCUUUUUGACACCGUCUGGACCAACUUACGCGCAUCUGACUAAUCCUGAGGUGCAAUUCUACAGUUCACUUGCAGGAGUCUCAAUCAGGGAUGGAACCAAGAUUUUACCCUAAUAGUAGCAAAAUGUAUACUAAAAAAAUAAAAAGAUGCAUUACAAUAUUAAUAGUCAUCGACUCUUAAAAAAAAAUUAAAAUAACAUAACAAAAACUAUAGUAAAUGAUAUUUAUCAUUUGUACAAGGAGUACGAAAAAGGACAAAUUUUAAUUUUUUAGAUUAAGUUGUUUUAGGGUUAAAGUGUGGAGUUUUUUUUCCUUAAUUACACCUCAUUCUUUAUAUUAUUUCACUUCGGCUCAUUGAAUUUAGUUUUGAAAUACUUUUUUGGGUCUCCUUUCUUGAAAAAAAUAGAAGAUUUAGGACUGGUAUAUAACAAAAAAUAAUGAAAAAAAUCUAGCGGUAGCGAGCUUAUAUAAAUUCGGGAUUGAUCCUAAAAGAGUUGUUGGAAAAUGGAGAGGUUUCGAAAAUGAGAUCUUGAGAGGGAGCUAUUGAUGCCAACCAUUGGACUGUACCUCCAUAGGGUUAUGAAAUCUCCUUAUCAGUUCACUUCAAUUAACAUCAGUUCAAGCUGGAAUGCUGAGGAAAAGAGAGUGAUUGAUUUGAACCUUUUAACUCCUAAUAAAACAGAUCAAAAAAAAAAAAACUUGAUUAGACAUCAAUAGAAUAAGAAAAAUUAGUGUUUUAUUUAGAAAAACCAAUCACUUAAAAUUUGAAACUAUAUUUGCCGUCUACAUUGUAAAACAAAUUGACACGGUUUGUUGAUGUAUCUAUUGACGUGCGAUUGAUUUGAUUUUUUCUGAUAGAUG